AACGAACGCUGGCGGCAGGCUUAACACAUGCAAGUCGAGCGCCCCGCAAGGGGAGCGGCAGACGGGUGAGUAACGCGUGGGAAUCUACCCAUCUCUACGGAAUAACGCAUGGAAACGUGUGCUAAUACCGUAUACGUCCUUCGGGAGAAAGAUUUAUCGGAGAUGGAUGAGCCCGCGUUGGAAUAGCUAGUUGGUGGGGUAAAGGCCUACCAAGGCGACGAUCCAUAGCUGGUCUGAGAGGAUGAUCAGCCACACUGGGACUGAGACACGGCCCAGACUCCUACGGGAGGCAGCAGUGGGGAAUAUUGGACAACGGGCGCAAGCCUGAUCCAGCCAUGCCGCGUGAGUGAUGAAGGCCCUAGGGUUGUAAAGCUCUUUCACCGGUGAAGAUAAUGACGGUAACCGGAGAAGAAGCCCCGGCUAACUUCGUGCCAGCAGCCGCAGUAAUAC
rnacentral:rRNA from 1 species